CCUACGGGAGGCAGCAGUGAGGAAUAUUGGUCAAUGGACGAGAGUCUGAACCAGCCAAGUAGCGUGAAGGAUGACUGCCCUAUGGGUUGUAAACUUCUUUUAUAUGGGAAUAAAACGUUCCACGUGUGGGAUUUUGUAUGUACCAUAUGAAUAAGGAUCGGCUAACUCCGUGCCAGCAGCCGCGGUAAUACGGAGGAUCCGAGCGUUAUCCGGAUUUAUUGGGUUUAAAGGGAGCGUAGGUGGAUUGUUAAGUCAGUUGUGAAAGUUUGCGGCUCAACCGUAAAAUUGCAGUUGAAACUGGCAGUCUUGAGUACAGUAGAGGUGGGCGGAAUUCGUGGUGUAGCGGUGAAAUGCAUAGAUAUCACGAAGAACUCCGAUUGCGAAGGCAGUUCACUGGACUGCAACUGACACUGAGGCUCGAAAGUGUGGGUAUCAAACAGGAUUAGAUACCCUUGUAGUC
rnacentral:rRNA from 1 species